rnacentral:rRNA from 1 species
AACGAACGCUGGCGGCAGGCUUAACACAUGCAAGUCGAACGAGAUCUUCGGAUCUAGUGGCAGACGGGUGAGGAGCACGUGGGAACAUCCCUUUCAGUUCGGAAUAACGUUGGGAAACUAACGCUAAUACCGGAUACGUCCUUCGGGAGAAAGAUUUAUCGCUGAAAGAUUGGCCCGCGUCUGAUGAGCUAGUUGGUAAGGUAACGGCUCACCAAGGCUACGAUCAGUAGCUGAUCUGAGAGGAUGAUCAGCCACACUGGGACUGAGGCACGGCCCAGACUCCUACGGGAGGCAGCAGUGGGGAAUAUUGGACAAUGGGCGCAAGCCUGAUCCAGCCAUGCCGCGUGAGUGAUGAAGGCCUUAGGGUUGUAAAGCUCGUUCGCUAGGGAAGAUAAUGACGGUACCUAGAGAAGAAGCCCCGGCUAACUUCGUGCCAGCCGCCGCCGUAA